GAUGAACGCUAGCGGCAGGCCUAAUACAUGCAAGUCGAACGGGCGGUAGCAAUACCGCUAGUGGCGCACGGGUGCGUAACGCGUAACCAACCUGCCCAGAUCUGGGGGAUAGCCCGCCGAAAGGCGGAUUAAUACCGCAUAAACCCACAGUGUGGCAUCACAUAAUGGGUAAAGAUUUAUCGGAUCUGGAUGGGGUUGCGUAGCAUUAGCUAGUUGGCGGGGUAAUGGCCCACCAAGGCGACGAUGCUUAGGGGACCUGAGAGGGUGAUCCCCCACACUGGCACUGAGAUACAGGCCAGACUCCUACGGGAGGCAGCAGUAGGGAAUAUUGGGCAAUGGGCGAGAGCCUGACCCAGCCAUGCCGCGUGCCGGAUGAAGGCCUUCUGGGUUGUAAACGGCUUUUCUCAGGGAAGAAAACGGGGAUGUGUCCUCAACUGACGGUACCUGAGGAAUAAGCACCGGCUAACUCCGUG
rnacentral:rRNA from 1 species